GCAGGAAUGGCGAAAUUGGUAGACGCGUCAGACUUAGAAUCUGAAUUUUGAGAGUUCAAGUCUCUCUUCCUGUACAA
rnacentral:tRNA from 1 species